rnacentral:rRNA from 1 species
AACGUAGGAGGCGAGCGUUAUCCGGAUUUACUGGGCGUAAAGCGCGUGCAGGCGGUCUGGUAAGUUGGAUGUGAAAUCUCCUGGCUCAACUGGGAGGGGUCAUUCAAUACUGCCAGACUUGAGGGCGGAAGAGGGGAGUGGAAUUUCCGGUGUAGUGGUGAAAUGCGUAGAUAUCGGAAGGAACACCAGUGGCGAAGGCGGCUCUCUGGUCCGUGCCUGACGCUAAGACGCGAAAGCUAGGGUAGCGAAUGGGAUUAGAUACCCCUGUA